CUGGCGGCGUGCCUAACACAUGCAAGUCGAACGGACGAGGGGAGCUUGCUCCUCGAGUUAGUGGCGAACGGGUGAGUAACGCGUGAGCAACCUGCCUUUCAGAGGGGGACAACGGUUGGAAACGACCGCUAAUACCGCAUGAUGCAUUCUGACCGCAUGAUCGGGAUGCCAAAGAUUUAUCGCUGAAAGAUGGGCUCGCGUCUGAUUAGAUAGUUGGCGGGUAACGGCCCACCAAGUCGACGAUCAGUAGCCGGACUGAGAGGUUGAACGGCCACAUUGGGACUGAGAUACGGCCCAGACUCCUACGGGAGGCAGCAGUGGGGAAUAUUGGGCAAAUGGGGGAAACCCUGACCCAGCAACGCCGCGUGAAGGAAGAAGGCUUUCGGGUUGUAAACUUCUUUUAACAGGGAAGAGAAGAAGACGGUACCUGUUGAAUAAGCCACGGCUAACUACGUGCCAGCAGCUGC
rnacentral:rRNA from 1 species